CCCCCGGUGGCUUAGACAGUAAAGAAUCUGCCUGCAAUGCAGGAGACCAGGGUUUGAUCCCUGGUUGGGGAA
rnacentral:tRNA from 1 species